ACUGCGGAAGGGCGUCCUUAUUUCACUAGGGCUGUGUUCAGCAUGGGGGUGCGUUCCCUGGUGAGAACCCCCUAGACCCCCAGGCACUGUGUAAGAGGUGUGUGUAAGGGAGGGCAGUGGUUGAGCAGCCCUGGUGACCCUGAAGAAAGGGGUCCCGGACAUGGGAGUCUUGGGGCGCAGGGAGGUGCAGGAAAGAGAGACCUCAUCAGCACACUGCACCCACUCUGGCUGCUCUAAGCAGCAGAGGAGCAGGAGCUUCUGUGUCUGCACAGGGGAAGUGGGCAGAGCUCAGGCAGUGUUGGGAACGCGGCCUGGGAAAUUCAUUCUGUGGUCCUCCGGGCUAAGAAUCGCGGGAAAGCAGCCUUGGCUCCAGGCCGGGUCCUACAGAGCCCGGGUUGCUCGGUCUGGGCCGCCCGCUCCGGAUAGAAAGCAGAGAGGCCUGCGCACGCGCCCGGGCAUCCCUGCCCUGGUGAGGAGAACAGCGGUGCAGAGGCGGCGGCGACCGGGAUAAGGACGGAACAGCACCGCCUUCCCCGCAGCACAGCUGUGCCUGCCCACGCAGAGAGGUGACCGGCUGAGAACUGGGUCCUGGCGCCCGCUCCCCUAGUCAGCCUUCGCAGACCUGAGUUUCCCGCAGGAGCCUCAGCCCGGCGCAGGGCCCUCAGCGUCCCGAGUGUAGUCUGACGGUGGGCCUGUCUGCGCGUGCGCACUCCGCCCCUGCCCCGGAAGCUUGAGCCCUUUCCUGCGCAGGCUGCAGCUCCCGGCGCCUCCUCCUCCUCUUCUAUUCCCCUCCUGCUGCAGGAAGUCGUCGGCUCCGCGCUGAGGCAGUGCUUACGCGGCUCUCCUGGCUCACCCCUCUCGGCCUUUGCUCCUCCCCGCUAGACCGUCGUUCUGGGAGGACAGCGAGGGAGGGGAGAUCCCGGGUCCUGGGACCACAGUCCUAUGUAAAAGGGGUGGUAAUGAAGACGGAGCGGCCAAGACUCGGUUCCUGAGGCUCGGACUGGGCAGCAGGGUCCUUGGCCUCCCAGGCCCCGCCGCCUGGUCCCUGCAGCGAGUCCGACCUGCUGAGCGCGCCUAGGGCCAAGGGGGCCACGCACAGCCGCUCCAGCGCUGCUUCUCUGCUGCUGGACACAGGGCACCGCAGCCCUGAGGCUGCGGUGGGGUUCAUGGGGCUCCUGGAUUCGGGCUUCAGUCCAGGGUCUGCAGGCUGGGGCAGAAAAAUCAGGAUGGCGAUGCCUGCUGGGGCAGAUUCUCCAGAUCCUGGAGGGAAAACGAGCACGGACGGCGCAGGACAGCAGCGAUGAGAAGCCAGAAUGGGCUGAGGUCCCUGCUGCAGGACCGCGGGCACCGCGCAGGUGCGCGGCUCAUCCGCUAGGGGGACGCGCAGGUCAUCCGCUAGGGGGACUGUGUGGGAUUCUGACAGGAAGAAAUUACCGUGCUUUGUUCUUUAUAUCAUGAAAGUGGAAACUGCUGAACUGACACAUAGAUUUCUUAGCAUUAGAGGCUGUCUCUGAACCUGUGACCCUAAGUGCUCCCCUGUCCAUCAUGCUUUGAUUAUAAAAGUGAAUGUCCCCAAGCUCAGCGUGACUCCUGAGAGUUUUACUACAUGGAGAGCCAGUUGUCCUUCCCUGAGGAGUUCUAGCUGGGAUUGUGGCCGACCUGUCCUGUCCUAGGCUACUGGCAUAGCUCCAUGGUGCCGGCGCAGGUCCUGUGUCCCCGGAACCCACUGGAUAUCUCGAGACACUCUCACCAUUAAGUGAGUGACCACCAGUGUUUUGGAGCAGUGAGCAGGACCAUCGAGCACCGGAGGUGAUGAAGCUGUUAUCCUGCUGUCUUCAUCCUUCAACCGGGACGAUGUAGAACAGCACGGGACUCACGCUGCUGCCCAACUGUCCGCAGCUUUCCAGCUGGUGAUGUGAGAGCUAAAAGCACCCAGGGUUGGAGCCAGAGUACAAUAUAAGGAAGAGAAGAGGCCUUUCCGUUUUGUGAUUUGGCUCCUGGACACAUGUCAGCCAUGCUGCCCUGCCUUGGAGCCAGCUGAGUAUGGACUCAAACCUCCGUAAAGUGAGAGUGACCAUAGUGGACUGACCUGGACCAUGGCUGUGACAGAGCAAGGACAGGAUCCCACCUCCCCCUGAACCCCUUCGAUGCAGCUCUGGGCCCUGGGUUUCAGGCCCCGCCUGCUCUGGCUACUGCUGCCCUGGUCAGGUACAGGUCUUUCAGGAUUAAGAAGACUGUAAGACAGUAAGAUUAAAUACCAUUUCUGACAUGGAAAUUGGUCUGAUUUAGUACAACUGCAACGCAGACAGAGAUUGACUGAAAUAAUGUGAUGCUCAAUUCAAAUGAAAACCACCAAAUGGAAGCUCUGCUCAUCUCCUGUCCAAACUCAUCAAGCUGGCUGACCUGGAGUCUUUUCCGUCUGGUCAGAGAGCUACCACCAUGCCUGUCAUGCUCUCAGCAAUGACAAUGUGAUCUUCUUAUUCACCUCCAGGGAAGAUCCAAGGGAAGAUAUCAAGGUCAACAGUCAUUGCCCAGGUGGGAGAAGGGGCUGUGCUUCCCUGUCACCUCAGCCCACCCAUGGAUGCUCAAAACAUGGAGAUCAGAUGGUACUGGGUCCAGCAAUCACUAC